GGCUGAUCCAAGUGCAGGGGUGUUUGCAACUAAUUGUUCACAACCCUUCACAGAUUUCUUUGUUCCUUCUUCAGUCCCACUGCUUCACUUGACCGGUCUUUA
rnacentral:Y_RNA from 1 species